GAUGAACGCUGGCGGCGUGCCUAAUACAUGCCAGUCGAGCGAACAGAUGAGGAGCUUGCUCCUCUGACGUUAGCGGCGGACGGGUGAGUAACACGUGGAUAACCUACCUAUAAGACUGGGAUAACUUCGGGAAACCGGAGCUAAUACCGGAUAAUAUAUUGAACCGCAUGGUUCAAUAGUGAAAGACGGUUUUGCUGUCACUUAUCGAUGGAUCCGCGCCGCAUUAGCUAGUUGGUAAGGUAACGGCUUACCAAGGCAACGAUGCGUAGCCGACCUGAGAGGGUGAUCGGCCACACUGGAACUGAGACACGGUCCAGACUCCUACGGGAGGCAGCAGUAGGGAAUCUUCCGCAAUGGGCGAAAGCCUGACGGAGCAACGCCGCGUGAGUGAUGAAGGUCUUCGGAUCGUAAAACUCUGUUAUUAGGGAAGAACAAAUGUGUAAGUAACUAUGCACGUCUUGACGGUACCUAAUCAGAAAGCCACGGCUAACUACGUG
rnacentral:rRNA from 1 species